ensembl:lncRNA
GAGGCACCCAAUGUCAGCUUGUGUGGGGGCUUGCCUAGGAUCACAGCUGCCCCUGUUGGGUCCUGAGCUGGGGUCUCCUGGGAUCCUGCCUCCAGUCUCAGGUGCUGGGAGAGUGCAGGCUCAGGGCCACUCAGGCUCCUCUUGCGUUUUCUGCACUGAGGCCUACUUGUUGGCCUCUCUUCCUGCUGCCUAGGGCCACUCCACGACCUGCCCACUUCGGCCAGGCCUACCUUGUCCACCCAGCCCUUCCUGGCCCUCAGAGGCAGAGAGGAGGGCAGUGGACAGGGCCAGCGGUGACAGGAUGUGUAUGGGUACAGAAACCUCCGAGACCCUGAGACACUUGAGAAGUCACCUCUGCGUAGUAAGGCUGGGAUGGGAAAUCUAAGAGCCAGGGGAAACUUUGAGCACUCUGGCCUAGCACCAAUGCCAACGGUCCUGCAGGUCUGCUGUGCCCCAGCUGCCUGGGGUCAGAGACAUGCCCACCUGCCUUGCCUGCUGUCCUCCAUCUCAGCCAUCGUCAGCUGUGGAAUCUCUCCUGGGAACUGCCUUGACUGGAAGAUGAAGUCGGAAGCACAGGGUCCCCACCAGUCUCUCCUCUCACCGACUCAGCAUGGCCUGCGUUCCGGGACCCAGAGGUACAAGGGGCUCACUGUGGACCCUGGGCAGUACCUCCCCCAGCUCUCCCUCUCAGCCCCUUGCCCGCAGCACCCACUGCUCCCAGGCCAGGCUCUGCCUCCCCUGGGCUCACGACCGGUCCAGUGGGUGCACCCCUCCCAGCUCCGUAAUCUUCAGCCAGACGUUCUGCCCCGGCCUCUCACAGGGAGAGGGCUCCUGGCCCCCUGCUGUCAGCCCUGAGGAGCUCAGAAGCCCCUUCCUUUGCAAAGUCCAGAUGAAAGGCUGAGAGGCUCAGAGAGGACCUAGACCUGCUCAGGGCCACAAACAUCAAGCUGAGAGGUGUGAGCAGAGCUGACCCCGUUCACACACACACACCCCACACCCCAAGGCCUGGGGCCCACCAGGUGAGCUCAGAGCCAAGCCUGUGGCCCAA